UCAGACGAUGCGUCAUGCAUAUCAAUAAGCGGAGGAAAAGAAACUAACAAGGAUUCCCUCAGUAACGGCGGGUGAAGCGGGAAGAGCUCAAAUUUGAAAUCUUGAAAGGUCACCUUUCACGAAUUGUAGUUUAAAGAAGUGUUUUCUGUUACGAUCGUAAUAUAAGUUCUUUGGAAUAGGACGUCACAGAGGGUGAGAAUCCCGUCUAUGAUUGCGAUUUGUAGCUUUGUGAUACACUUUCAAAGAGUCGGAUUGUUUGGGAAUGCAGUCCAAAACUGGGAGGUAAAUUUCAUUCUAAGGCUAAAUAUUGGCGAGAGACCGAUAGCGAACAAGUACCGUGAGGGAAAGAUGAAAAGAACUUUGAAAAGAGAGUUAAACAGUACGUGAAAUUGUCAAAAGGGAAGCGUUUGACACCAGUGUUGCUUUCUCGAAAAUCAAUUAAAAAUGGCUCGAUUUUGUAUUGCUUGAGACCUUAAAAGCUCACUGUACAUUUUUCGUGUCUUUUUUAAUGCACUUUUCGUUUAACAAGUCAACAUCAGUUUCUUUUGUUGUAAAAGGGUCAUUGGAAGGUGGCUUUCUUUUCGGAGAAAGUGUUUAUAGCCUUUGGCCUCUGCAAUCGGAGAGACUGAGGUCUGCAGCGUAGACUCUUCGGGGUUAGAUACAUUUGUGCUAAGUUAUAGCUUUUUAUAGACAACUUGUUGACUAUAAUUAGUCUUGUAGCUUACUCGCUUAUGCUAUUUUACCUACGCUUAGGAUGUUGACUGAUAUGUAGUCGUA
rnacentral:rRNA from 1 species